AGAGAAGAAUUUCUGUUUAGGGCAUGCUGAUCAUUUAAUUUGUAGGAUAUGUGUUCAGUGUGAUCAUUCAUUAGCUCCAUUUGAAAAUGCCAAUGGCUGGAAGAAAAGAUAUGCAUGUACAGAGAGCCUUGGGACUGAAGUCAUAACACAGAAAGGACUGGCCUGGAGAGAAAAGGUCCAAAGAGAAGACACAGAAGUUUUCCUGCAAGUGAAUAAGGAGAGCCUUCAGAAGUUACUGUUAAAAAUAGGACAUGCUCUCUGAAUCUU